UAGGGAAUCUUCGGCAAUGGACGGAAGUCUGACCGAGCAACGCCGCGCGAGUGAAGAAGGUUUUCGGAUCGUAAAGCUCUGUUGUUAGAGAAGAACGUUGGUAGGAGUGGAAAAUCUACCAAGUGACGGUAACUAACCAGAAAGGGACGGCUAACUACGUGACAGCAGCCGCGGGAAUACGUAGGUCCCGAGCGUUGUCCGGAUUUAGUGGGCGUAAAGCGAUCGCAGGCGGUUCUUUAAGUCUGAAGUUAAAGGCAGUGGCUUAACCAUUGUACGCUUUGGAAACUGGAGGACUUGAGUGCAGAAGGGGAGAGUGGAAUUCCAUGUGUAGCGGUGAAAUGCGUAGAUAUAUGGAGGAACACCGGUGGCGAAAGCGGCUCUCUGGUCUGUAACUGACGCUGAGGCUCGAAAGCGUGGGGAGCAAACAGG
rnacentral:rRNA from 1 species